rnacentral:rRNA from 1 species
CCCCUUAGAUGUUCUGGGCCGCACGCGCGCUACACUGAUGCAUUCAACAAGCCUAGCCUUGACCGAGAGGUCCGGGUAAUCUUUGAAACUGCAUCGUGAUGGGGCUAGAUUAUUGCAAUUAUUAAUCUUCAACGAGGAAUGCCUAGUAAGCGUGAUUCAUCAAAUCGCGUUGAUUACGUCCCUGCCCUUUGUACACACCGCCCGUCGCUCCUACCGAUUGAAUGUGUUGGUGAGGAGCUCGGAUUGGCAGCAGUUGGUGGUUCGCCACCGGCUAUUGCUGAGAAGUCCUCCAAACCGCCCCAUUUAGAGGAAGGAGAAGUCGUANCA